ACGCUAGCUACAGGCUUAACACAUGCAAGUCGAGGGGAAACGGCAUUAAGUGCUUGCACUUUUUGGACGUCGACCGGCGCACGGGUGAGUAACGCAUAUCCAACCUUCCCAUGACUAAGGGAUAACCUGCCGAAAGGCAGACUAAUACCUUAUGGUCUUCACUGACGGCAUCAGAUGUGAAGUAAAGAUUUAUCGGUUAUGGAUGGGGAUGCGUCUGAUUAGUUAGUUGGCGGGGUAACGGCCCACCAAGGCAACGAUCAGUAGGGGUUCUGAGAGGAAGGUCCCCCACAUUGGAACUGAGACACGGUCCAAACUCCUACGGGAGGCAGCAGUGAGGAAUAUUGGUCAAUGGGCGAGAGCCUGAACCAGCCAAGUAGCGUGCAGGACGACGGCCCUAUGGGUUGUAAACUGCUUUUGUAUGGGGAUAAAGUCAAUCACGUGUGAUUGUUUGCAGGUACCAUACGAAUAAGGACCGGCUAAUUCCGUGCCAGCAGCCGCGGUAAUACGGAAGGUCCGGGCGUUAUCCGGAUUUAUUGGGUUUAAAGGGAGCGUAGGCUGGAGAUUAAGUGUGUUGUGAAAUGUAGACGCUCAACGUCUGACUUGCAGCGCAUACUGGUUUCCUUGAGUACGCACAACGUUGGCGGAAUUCGUCGUGUAGCGGUGAAAUGCUUAGAUAUGACGAAGAACUCCGAUUGCGAAGGCAGCUGACGGGAGCGCAACUGACGCUGAAGCUCGAAGGUGCGGGUAUCGAACAGGAUUAGAUACCCUGGUAGUCCGCACAGUAAACGAUGGAUGCCCGCUGUUGGUACCUGGUAUCAGCGGCUAAGCGAAAGCAUUAAGCAUCCCACCUGGGGAGUACGCCGGCAACGGUGAAACUCAAAGGAAUUGACGGGGGCCCGCACAAGCGGAGGAACAUGUGG
rnacentral:rRNA from 1 species